AUGUCAUGUCAGGAUAUCUCAGAAGACAAAUGGGAUCCUGGGAAGAAAGAUCUUCCAGAAAGAUCAUCACAUGCCCAGAAUCAUCAAGGACUACAUACAUCUCAGCUGAAAGUGGAGGAUAAGGUACAUGGAGGGUUUUUGCAUGAGCCUAUAUCACAGUGUUGGGUGUUCGGCGGAGGCACCAAAUUGACUGUCCUAGGUCAGCCCACGUCUCAACCUUCAGUCACCUUGUUUCCACCUUCUCCUGAGGAGCUCAAGACCAGCAAGGCCACACUGGUGUGUAUGAUCAAUGACUUUUACCCUGGUGAUUUGGCAGUGACCUGGAAAGCAGAUGGUACAACUAUCACCCAGGGUGUGGAGACAAGUAACCCUUCCAAACAGGGCAACAAGUACUUGGCUACCAGCUUCUUGACUUUGACAGAAGAUGCAUGGAAAUCGAAAAACAAAGUCAGCUGUGAGGUCACUCAUAAAGGGAUAAAAGUGGAGAAGAGUUUGUCCCCUGCAAUGUGUUCCUAGGCCUUCCAAUAUUCAUCUUACCCAUAGAAACUGGGAUUAGAAUAAUGCACAAAUCUUGCUCUUGCCUAUCAUAGCCCUUCUCCCAGUUCCUGAAAUGCAAAAUAAAAUAUCCAUUCUC